GUAAGGGCUUAGAAGUUCUUUCAUUUUUUCAAAAGGAAACAGCAAUUUCCGGACAAGGAUGUCCGGAAAAGGCGAAAUCGAGCCUGGAUGGCGAGUUUUCGCCGGUUGCGUGCCAGGACAAAAUCAGAAAUGAAAAUGAAUAGAACUUCUUAG
rnacentral:ncRNA from 1 species